UCAAGCGACUAAGUGCAUGUGGUGGAUGCCUUGGCGAUUACAGGCGAUGAAGGACGUGGCAGCCUGCGAAAAGCUGCGGGGAGCUGGCAAACGAGCAUUGAUCCGCAGAUGUCCGAAUGGGGAAACCCGGCCCGCAAGGGUCACUCCCUGCUGAAUACAUAGGCAGGGUAGAGCGAACCCGGUGAACUGAAACAUCUCAGUAGCCGGAGGAACAGAAAUCAACCGAGAUUCCCAGAGUAGUGGCGAGCGAAAUGGGAUCAGCCGUCGCGAUUUAGCACAUACCUCAGGAGAACGGUCUGGAAAGGCCGGCCGCAGUGGGUGAGAGCCCCGUAACCGAAGAGGUGAGUGUGGAACUAGGCGCGAGAGAAGUAGGGCGGGACACGUGAAAUCCUGUCUGAAGAUGGGGGGACCAUCCUCCAAGGCUAAAUACUCGUAAUCGACCGAUAGUGAACCAGUACCGUGAGGGAAAGGCGAAAAGAACCCCGGGAGGGGAGUGAAAUAGAUCCUGAAACCGCAUGCAUACAAACAGUCGGAGCCCCUGCUUAAUUGGUCUUCGGUUCUUCCGGCGAGCGCGCGAAGCGCGAGUCAAAAGGACUCAAAGAUGAAUGGACCCUGUUGGUCAAUCGAAUGGAGCGAAGGCGUACGCGAACGCGAGUGAGCGUAGCCGUCGCCCUGCUUGAUUGGCUCGGUCAUCGAGCGACGUAUUGAACGUCGAGCCGAUGCGGGAACGGAGGGCCAAUCAAGCAGGGGUGACGGCGUACCUUUUGUAUAAUGGGUCAGCGACUUACGUUCACCAGCGAGCUUAACCGAAUAGGGGAGGCGCAGCGAAAGCGAGUCCGAACAGGGCGACUUAGUUGGUGGGCGUAGACCCGAAACCGGAUGAUCUACCCAUGGCCAGGAUGAAGGUGGGGUAACACUCACUGGAGGUCCGAACCCACUACCGUUGAAAAGGUAGGGGAUGAGCUGUGGGUAGGGGUGAAAGGCUAAUCAAAUCCGGAAAUAGCUGGUUCUCUCCGAAAACUAUUUAGGUAGUGCGUUGUGCAUCACCUGCGGGGGUAGAGCACUGUUAUGGUUGCGGGGGUCAUUGUGACUUGCCGCGCCAUUGCAAACUCCGAAUACCGCAGAGUGCGAGCACGGCAGACAGACUCCGGGUGCUAACGUCCGGGGUCGAGAGGGAAACAACCCAGACCACCAGCUAAGGUCCCCAAGACGCAGUUAAGUGGGAAACGAGGUGGGAAGGCUCAGACAGCCAGGAUGUUGGCUUAGAAGCAGCCAUCAUUUAAAGAAAGCGUAAUAGCUCACUGNUCGAGUCGUCCUGCGCGGAAGAUGUAACGGGGCUCAAACUGCGCACCGAAGCUGUGGAUGAAAGUAGGGUCAGAGACGAUUUUCGUGUCUGGCCCGCAAGGGAUCGGACGACGGUGAAAGUCGUGUCUGACCCUACUUUCAUGGUAGGAGAGCGUUCCGUAGGCCGGUGAAGGUGGCUCGAGAGGGCUGCUGGAGGUAUCGGAAGUGCGAAUGCUGACAUGAGUAGCGAUAAAGCGGGUGAAAGGCCCGCUCGCCGAAAGCCCAAGGUUUCCUGCGCCACGUUCAUCGGCGCAGGGUGAGUCGGCCCCUAAGGUGAGGACGAGAGUCGUAGCCGAUGGGAAACGGGUCAAUAUUCCCGUACCGGCUUGGAAUGCGAUGGGGGGACGGAGAAGGUUAGCUCGGCCGGGUGUUGGAUGUCCCGGUUUAAGCGUGUAGGCGUGCCCGGUAGGCAAAUCCGCUGGGCUUAGCUGAGGCGUGACGACGAUGGCCGGCUUGCCGGCCUGAAGCGAGCGAUACCCUGCUUCCAGGAAAAGCCUCUAAGCUUCAGUUCCAAGUUGACCGUACCGCAAACCGACACAGGUGGGCAGGAUGAAUAUUCUAAGGCGCUUGAGAGAACUCAGGAGAAGGAACUCGGCAAAUUAGCACCGUAACUUCGGGAUAAGGUGCGCCCCAGGUAGGUGAAGCCGUACAGGCGGAGCCGAGUGGGGCCGCAGAGAAAUGGUGGCUGCGACUGUUUAACAAAAACACAGCACUCUGCUAACACGAAAGUGGACGUAUAGGGUGUGACGCCUGCCCGGUGCCGGAAGGUUAAGUGAUGGGGUGCAAGCUCUUGAUCGAAGCCCCGGUAAACGGCGGCCGUAACUAUAACGGUCCUAAGGUAGCGAAAUUCCUUGUCGGGUAAGUUCCGACCUGCACGAAUGGCGUAACGAUGGCCACGCUGUCUCCUCCUGAGACUCAGCGAAGUUGAAGUGUUUGUGAAGAUGCAAUCUCCCCGCGGCAAGACGGAAAGACCCCGUGCACCUUUACUGUAGCUUUGCAUUGGACUGUGAUGAGACUUGUGUAGGAUAGCUGGGAGGCUUUGAAGCGGCGGCGCUAGCUGCCGUGGAGCCAACGUUGAAAUACCAGCCUGGUGUCAUUGCGGUUCUAACCUGGGUCCAUUAUCUGGAUCGGGGACCGUGCAUGGUAGGCAGUUUGACUGGGGCGGUCUCCUCCCAAAGAGUAACGGAGGAGCUCGAAGGUACGCUUAGCGCGGUCGGCUAUCGCGCUGAAUGUGCAAUGGCACAAGCGUGCUUGACUGCGAGCCUGACAAGGCGAGCAGGUGCGAAAGCAGGACAUAGUGAUCCGGUGGUUCUGUAUGGAAGGGCCAUCGCUCAACGGAUAAAAGGUACGCCGGGGAUAACAGGCUGAUACCGCCCAAGAGUUCAUAUCGACGGCGGUGUUUGGCACCUCGAUGUCGGCUCAUCACAUCCUGGGGCUGAAGCCGGUCCCAAGGGUAUGGCUGUUCGCCAUUUAAAGUGGUACGUGAGCUGGGUUCAAAACGUCGUGAGACAGUUUGGUCCCUAUCUGCCGUGGGCGCUGGAGAUUUGACGGGAGCUGCUCCUAGUACGAGAGGACCGGAGUGGACGCACCGCUGGUGUACCGGUUGUGACGCCAGUCGCAUUGCCGGGUAGCUAAGUGCGGAAGUGAUAACCGCUGAAAGCAUCUAAGCGGGAAACACGCCUGAAGAUGAGAUCUCCCGGGGACUUGAUCCCCCUGAAGGGUCGUGGCAGACCACCACGUUGAUAGGCCGGGUGUGGAAGGGCAGUAAUGCCUUGAGCUAACCGGUACUAAUUGCCCGUGCGGCUUGACCCC
rnacentral:rRNA from 1 species